rnacentral:rRNA from 1 species
CGGGAGGCAGCAGUGAGGAAUGUUGCGCAAUGGGCGAAAGCCUGACGCAGCAACGCCGCGUGAGUGAUGAAGGCCCUCGGGUUGUAAAGCUCUGUCUGGUGGGAAGAUGGGACUCGGCCAACACCCGGGUUUUGACGGUACCACCGAAGGAAGCACCGGCUAACUCCGUGCCAGCAGCCGCGGUAAUACGGAGGGUGCAAGCGUUGUCCGGAAUUACUGGGCGUAAAGCGUGUGCGGGCGGCUCGUUAUGUCGGGUGUGAAAUCCCUCGGCUCAACUGAGGAACUGCGCCCGAAACUGGCGAGCUUGAGUACGGUAGGGGGAGGUGGAAUUCCCGGUGUAGAGGUGAAAUUCGUAGAUAUCGGGAAGAAUACCGGUGGCGAAGGCGACCUCCUGGCCCGUUACUGACGCUCAGUCACGAAAGCGUGGGGAGCAAACAGGAUUAGAUACCCUGGUAGC